AGUGAACGCUGGCGGUAGGCCUAACACAUGCAAGUCGAACGGCAGCACAGUAAGAUCUUGCUCUUACGGGUGGCGAGUGGCGGACGGGUGAGGAAUACAUCGGAAUCUACUUUUUCGUGGGGGAUAACGUAGGGAAACUUACGCUAAUACCGCAUACGACCUACGGGUGAAAGCAGGGGAUCUUCGCACCUUGCGCGAUUGAAUGAGCCGAUGUCGGAUUAGCUAGUUGGCGGGGUAAAGGCCCACCAAGGCGACGAUCCGUAGCUGGUCUGAGAGGAUGAUCAGCCACACUGGAACUGAGACACGGUCCAGACUCCUACGGGAGGCAGCAGUGGGGAAUAUUGGACAAAGGGCGCAAGCCUGAUCCAGCCAUACCGCGUGGGUGAAGAAGGCCUUCGGGUUGUAAAGCCCUUUUGUUGGGAAAGAAAAGCAGCAGGUUAAUACCCCGCUGUUCUGACGGUACCCAAAGAAUAAGCACCGGCUAACUUCGUG
rnacentral:rRNA from 1 species